rnacentral:rRNA from 1 species
AACGAACGCUGGCGGCAGGCUUAACACAUGCAAGUCGAGCGCCCCGCAAGGGGAGCGGCAGACGGGUGAGUAACGCGUGGGAAUCUACCCAUCUCUACGGAAUAACGCAUGGAAACGUGUGCUAAUACCGUAUACGUCCUUCGGUAUAAAGAUUUAUCGGAGAUGGAUGAGCCCGCGUUGGAUUAGCUAGUUGGUGGGGUAAUGGCCUAACAAGGCGACGACCCAUAUCUGGUCUGAGAGGAUGAUCAGGAACACUGGGACUGAGACACGACCCAGACUCCUACGGGAGGCAGCAGUGGGGAAUAUUGGACAAUGGGCGCAAGCCUGAUCCAGACAUGCCGCGUGAGUGAUGAAGACCAUAGGGUUGUAAAGCUCUUUCACCGGUGAAGAUAAUGACGGUAACCGGAGAAGAAGCCCCGGCUAACUUCGUGCCAGCCGCCGCGGUAAUAC